CUCGUUCACCAUAGAGUAUCUAUUACCGGUAGAAUCAGAAUCGUCCCAUUGCAAUAGGAGGGUUUCAUUCGGCAUGAAGGAGGACCUUUCUCCCUCUGAAAAUAAAUAGACUGCUUUAUUGACACUUGGUGGCCUGACAUGUCAUCUUUUCUGACUUUCCGUUGUGCACUUCCUUCGAAGAUUCUUCCAUCAUAUUUCCAGUCGCUGGUGUUCUGCAAACUUCAUGUGAGCCUUGGAAAUUAUAGUACCAUCAUUGGUGACCACCGUUGGAGUUCCAGUUUUCUUCCUUUCAAGAACCAUUCCCCUAUUUGAUUCGCUCUGCUUCGACCCUCGGUGGGAACUCAAAGAGAAGAUACUGAUUCUCCAUCUCCAAAACUUUGGUCCCAGCCGUCCAUUCUCCAUUCUCUGGAACCACUUUUGAAUGACUGUCAUUUUGGGGACUGUAAAAGUAUCAUUAGAAUGACCUACUAAGCAUCUCGCCAGAAAUCUAUUUAGCUUACCCCAUUUCAGUUUCAUGUACUAUAAUACUGUUUAGGUCUAGGUGUGCCUCCUCCACCCCCAUGGCCAACUCUAGAUAGCGACAUCUGUUGCAUAUGAUUUUUGAUGCCUUGCUUUUUGUUUCUCCCCUUUGCUGUACCUUUUUCUAAAAACAUGAAACUCUUCUCUACGUACUCCGAGUCUCCAACCACCCUGCAUCUGUAUCAAUCUCCUGUAUGACUAUUGCUGAUUUGCUCUUACCCAACCAUGAUUCGAUUUUGAUGAACCUCCCACAUUAUGCUGAAGUUCUGAAACCUCUAACUAUAUACAGCUGGAGGCUGCCCUCUUGAAUUUCCAUUAGAUGCCUGUUUUAACAGUUCACAUAUCUAUAUCAGGUUGUCUUCAUCUACUUCAAUUCUGCUGGAAAGGUUCCUUCUUCUUCUCCCUACUAUCAUGUACUAGUUCUUGGCUUCUUACGUUUAUCGCUGAUUUCAGAAACAUUGAAGCUUUUUCUCCCACUAGACAAAUCAUUCGCCGUUCUUGCAUUUGUCUCUAAUUUUUCUUCGUUAUGCACCCCAGGUUUAGCUGUGAUUGUGCUUCCAAAAUACUUCUGUGAUUGGUAAGAGUAGUAGUACUUGCAAAUUUUAGAGAUAAUAUACAUGAUAGGAUGGAGGGAACACCAUUCUCAACAGAAAGCAAAGAAGAGGGGGUCAGCCACAGUGUCAUUCCAGGAUCUCCAAAAGCAAUUUGGCAGUGGUGGUGGCUGCUGACCUCUCGCGACAUUCUUUCACGAUAUAUUCUUACCUGUUUUCUGAUGCUUUCCAGCAGCUAGAAGAUGAGGGGAUGGAGAUGCCCAUAAUUUAGACACUUUUUCAAAACCUAAAAGUUUUAUAAGCAGCUUUCUUUAGUCAUGCAGGAGAAUCCUGUAAAAUAAUAGGUAAUAAUAAACAACUUUUAGUUGAACCAUGGACUACUUCAACUUUCUUGUCAUUGCAAAAAACACCGAUGUACAUCUGUUACAUGAUGCUGUUCUAUAAACACUAGUAAGGCUGUAUUAGGACAA